rnacentral:rRNA from 1 species
UACGUAGGUGGCAAGCGUUGUCCGGAUUUAUUGGGUUUAAAGGGUGCGUAGGCGGCUUUGUAAGUCAGUGGUGAAAUAUGGCAGCUCAACUGUCAGGGUGCCAUUUGAUACUGCGGAGCUUGAGUACAGAUGAGGUAGGCGGAAUUGACGGUGUAGCGGUGAAAUGCUUAGAUAUCGUCAAGAACACCGAUAGCGAAGGCAGCUUACUGGGCUGUAACUGACGCUGAGGCACGGAAAAGUGUGGGGAGUCAAAACGG